rnacentral:rRNA from 1 species
AUACGGAGGGUGCAAGCGUUAAUCGGAAUUACUGGGCGCAAAGCGUACGUAGGCGGUUCGUUAAGUUAGAUGUGAAAGCCCCGGGCUUAACCUGGGAACUGCAUUUAAAACUGGCGGACUAGAGUUGAGUAGAGGGGAGUGGAAUUUCAGGUGUAGCGGUGAAAUGCGUAGAGAUCUGAAGGAACACCAGUGGCGAAGGCGACUCCCUGGACUCGAACUGACGCUGAGGUACGAAAGCGUGGGUAGCAAACGGGAUUAGAAACCCUAGUAGUCC